rnacentral:rRNA from 1 species
GUGAACGCUGGCGGUAGGCCUAACACAUGCAAGUCGAACGGCAGCACAGUAAGAGCUUGCUCUUACGGGUGGCGAGUGGCGGACGGGUGAGGAAUACAUCGGAAUCUACUUUUUCGUGGGGGAUAACGUAGGGAAACUUACGCUAAUACCGCAUACGACCUACGGGUGAAAGCAGGGGAUCUUCGGACCUUGCGCGAUUGAAUGAGCCGAUGUCGGAUUAGCUAGUUGGCGGGGUAAAGGCCCACCAAGGCGACGAUCCGUAGCUGGUCUGAGAGGAUGAUCAGCCACACUGGAACUUAGACACGGUCCAGACUCCUACGGGAGGCAGCAGUGGGGAAUAUUGGACAAUGGGCGCAAGCCUGAUCCAGCCAUACCGCGUGGGUGAAGAAGGCCUUCGGGUUUUAAAGCCCUUUUGUUGGGAAAGAAAAGCAGCAGGUUAAUACCCCGCUGUUCUGACGGUACCCAAAGAAUAAGCACCGGCUAACUUCGUG